rnacentral:rRNA from 1 species
GAUGAACGCUAGCGGGAGGCUUAACACAUGCAAGUCGAGCGGUAUGGCAGCAAUGCCUGAGAGCGGCGAACGGGUGAGUAACACGUAGGUGAUCUACCCAUCAGACGGGGAUAACGAUUGGAAACGAUCGCUAAUACCGGAUAGGAUGAAAAUUUAAAGAUGCUUUCGGGCAUCGCUGAUGGAUGAGCCUGCGGCGCAUUAGCUAGUUGGUAGGGUAAAGGCCUACCAAGGCGACGAUGCGUAGCCGACCUGAGAGGGUGAACGGCCACACUGGGACUGAGACACGGCCCAGACUCCUACGGGAGGCAGCAGUAGGGAAUUUUCGGCAAUGGGCGCAAGCCUGACCGAGCAACGCCGCGUGAGUGAUUAAGGCCUUCGGGUUGUAAAGCUCUGUUGUAAGGGAAGAACAUUCAGGAUAGGAAAUGAUCUUGAACUGACGGUACCUUACCAGAAAGCCACGGCUAACUACGUGCCAGCAGCCGCCGUAAAAC